CGCCGCCGCCGCCACACCCACCUCCACCAUCCAUGCCCCUCCAGCCCCGGCCAUCAGAGAAGGCGCCCUCCUGAGAAUCCCCAUGCGGUGCUGCCGUUCGGUGAGCGAGGAAGAGGAGAUUCAGAGGCUCGAGGAGCCAUUACCACCAGUGAAGAGGAUGCAGACGUCCUCCUUGAUAAGUAAGGGCUCGUUACUUUGCUCGGUCUAACCCGAGGGGAGGAGCGGGAAGUGGCGGUGGUGGUCUGGCCUAGUGGUGACCGGAUGAUAAAAAGUGGUCGGAGGCGCUGCGCCAAUCAGCCUGCAACAACGGCAAGACGGCGGAGUUUGGGCACCAGCGGUGCCAAAGGUGCGCCAGCUUCCUCAUGUAUCCCUUCGCCCUCGCCUGCCCGCCGUCUCCUUCCUGCCCCAGGUGCUGGGCUGCCAUCUCUCUACUCAGGCACAACGGCCUUCUGACAGAGCCAGACCUAUAACUGAUUACAAUGAGGUCACAUUGCAUUUCAUUCAGUGUGUACAGAUGCAUAUACAGAACACCAAAUCAAAGGUUGGCAGUCCCGCACACACCAAUUCUUCUGUAGGAACCCCAUUUUCCAAUAGCAUGAGCCAAGCAGCCACUCCAACCUUUGUGAAAUCCAACUCAAUAAGCUGCGCCGAGGUUGUCAGUGUCGCUCAAGGGAGACGCUGUUUUUGGCUGACACGACGUUGACGCCUCCCACAAGUUGAUUUGCUUCUUUGCAGGUACACCAAUUUUAAUCUUCCUCUAUGGAUGAUUGAAUUUCUAAAUAUGUUUAGAUAAACAAAGUGUAUACCAACUCUUUUCGAAUAAGGUGUUGACGCCAUCACGAAUAUUUAUUGCUUCUUUGUAGUUCAAAUGUUUUAUUAUAGUUUUUCCUUUCCUAUUUCCUUCUGUUGAGCAGCUACAAAAUUAAUCUGGUGGACAAAGAUUCUUUGUGAGCAUUAUCAUCACAGUGAUACUAAUUUCACCCCAAUUUUGGGGAAUGGAUCAUAUCAUAGCUUAGCAGUUGCAUUUGCUUCCAGCCCUUACAUGUAAAAACAUUUUUAAGCGUGAAUUAGUUGUUAUGAAGACCAUACAGAUUUGAUCAUCUUUUGCAUAAUAGAUUGUGCAAACAUUGAAAGAUGAAUGGUCUAGAACAGAUUAUAAGCUACCACAGUAUGUGCGGUGUGAACACGUGAAGCCUUGCCUUGAAGAUAUCAAUGUUGUAUUCAGUGAUUCAUAGGUAAUUCAAUCCGUGUUUUUCGUUUUUUAGUUUCUAUUGAACUGCGUAAUAUAUCUCCCUGGAAGUAUUAUGUUUAAAGCACCGGUUGAUGUUAUAUUCCAUUCUUUUCCUUUGUAGGAGCUCCUUGUGGUCGAUUAAAGAGUUGUACACUUCUUCUAAGAACUACUAUAUUUUUUUCUGUAUAUUAGGGUCUGUUUGGAUUGGUUCCUAUACUUGCCCAACCAAAUAAUUGGUGUUGACCGAGCGAUGGGCGUUUGUUUCGAUUGGCGCAGAUAAAUUGGCUCGCCCACCGCUCGUCAGCCCUCUGCGUUCAGUUUUCCGCCAAAUCAUUGGCAAGGCGGGGGCGGCCGAAACGUCCACCAAUUUUUUGGCAUCGGCAGAAUCCAAACAACCUCUUAUUCUUUUCAUUCAAUUAAGAGUAUGAACUCAUGUUCCAAGAAUUGAAUGUGAUAGUUCAUGUUCAGCGGAUUUCGCUAGGAGAUACACACGGUGCUCACGAGCGCCUUGAGCAACAUGGAUCCGAUGUUUCUGAUGAAUCAUUUCACGAUUAGUUAGAGGCUG